CAGCAGCCGCGGUAAUGCGUAGGUCCCGAGCGUUGUCCGGAUUUAUUGGGCGUAAAGCGAGCGCAGGCGGUUAGAUAAGUCUGAAGUUAAAGGCUGUGGCUUAACCAUAGUACGCUUUGGAAACUGUUUAACUUGAGUGCAAGAGGGGAGAGUGGAAUUCCAUGUGUAGCGGUGAAAUGCGUAGAUAUAUGGAGGAACACCGGUGGCGAAAGCGGCUCUCUGGCUUGUAACUGACGCUGAGGCUCGAAAGCGUGGGGCGCAAACAGGAUUAGAUACCCCCGUAGUCCCUGUCUCUUAUACA
rnacentral:rRNA from 1 species